rnacentral:rRNA from 1 species
UACGUAGGGUGCAGGCGUUAAUCGGAAUUACUGGGCGUAAAGCGUGCGCAGGCGGUUUGCUAAGACAGGUGUGAAAUCCCCGGGCUUAACCUGGGAACUGCGCUUGUUACUGGCAGGCUUGAGUGUGGCAGAGGGGGGUGGAAUUCCACGUGUAGCAGUGAAAUACGUAGAGAUGUGGAGGAACACCGAUGGCGAAGGCAGCCCCCUGGGCUAACACUGACGCUCAUGCACGAAAGCGUGGGGAGCAAACAGG